rnacentral:rRNA from 1 species
UACGUAGGGGGCAAGCGUUGUCCGGAUUUAUUGGGCGUAAAGAGCGUGUAGGCGGCCAAGCAGGUCCGCUGUGAAAACUCGAGGCUCAACCUCGAGACGUCGGUGGAAACCGUUUGGCUAGAGUCCGGAAGAGGAGAGUGGAAUUCCCGGUGUAGCGGUGAAAUGCGCAGAUAUCGGGAAGAACACCCGUGGCGAAGGCGGCUCUCUGGGACGGUACUGACGCGUGAGACGCGAAAAGCG